GACGAACGCUGGCGGCGUGCUUAACACAUGCAAGUCGAACGGAAAGGCCCUGCUUUUGUGGGGUGCUCGAGUGGCGAACGGGUGAGUAACACGUGAGUAACCUGCCCUUGACUUUGGGAUAACUUCAGGAAACUGGGGCUAAUACCGGAUAGGAGCUCCUGCUGCAUGGUGGGGGUUGGAAAGUUUCGGCGGUUGGGGAUGGACUCGCGGCUUAUCAGCUUGUUGGUGGGGUAGUGGCUUACCAAGGCUUUGACGGGUAGCCGGCCUGAGAGGGUGACCGGCCACAUUGGGACUGAGAUACGGCCCAGACUCCUACGGGAGGCAGCAGUGGGGAAUAUUGCACAAUGGGCGGAAGCCUGAUGCAGCAACGCCGCGUGCGGGAUGACGGCCUUCGGGUUGUAAACCGCUUUCGCCUGUGACGAAGCGUGAGUGACGGUAAUGGGUAAAGAAGCACCGGCUAACUACGUGCCAGCAGCCGCGGUGAUACGUAGGGUGCGAGCGUUGUCCGGAUUUAUUGGGCGUAAAGGGCUCGUAGGUGGUUGAUCGCGUCGGAAGUGUAAUCUUGGGGCUUAACCCUGAGCGUGCUUUCGAUACGGGUUGACUUGAGGAAGGUAGGGGAGAAUGGAAUUCCUGGUGGAGCGGUGGAAUGCGCAGAUAUCAGGAGGAACACCAGUGGCGAAGGCGGUUCUCUGGGCCUUUCCUGACGCUGAGGAGCGAAAGCGUGGGGAGCGAACAGGCUUAGAUACCCUGGUAGUCCACGCUGUAAACGGUGGGUACUAGGUGUGGGGUCCAUUCCACGGGUUCCGUGCCGUAGCUAACGCUUUAAGUACCCCGCCUGGGGAGUACGGCCGCAAGGCUAAAACUCAAAGGAAUUGACGGGGCCCCGCACAAGCGGCGGAGCAUGCGGAUUAAUUCGAUGCAACGCGUAGAACCUUACCUGGGUUUGACAUGGAUCGGGAGUGCUCAGAGAUGGGUGUGCCUCUUUUGGGGUCGGUUCACAGGUGGUGCAUGCCUGUCGUCAGCUCGUGUCGUGAGAUGUUGGGUUAAGUCCCGCAACGAGCGCAACCCUUGUUCACUGUUGCCAGCACGUUAUGGUGGGGACUCAGUGGAGACCGCCGGGGUCAACUCGGAGGAAGGUGGGGAUGACGUCAAGUCCUCAUGCCCCUUAUGUCCAGGGCUUCACGCAUGCUACAAUGGCUGGUACAGAGAGUGGCGAGCCUGUGAGGGUGCGCGAAUCUCGGAAAGCCGGUCUCAGUUCGGAUUGGGGUCUGCAACUCGACCUCAUGAAGUCGGAGUCGCUAGUAAUCGCAGAUCAGCAACGCUGCGGUGAAUACGUUCCCGGG
rnacentral:rRNA from 1 species